rnacentral:rRNA from 1 species
UGGGGAAUCUUGGACAAUGGGGGAAACCCUGAUCCAGCCAUGCCGCGUGAGCGAUGAAGGCCCUAGGGUUGUAAAGCUCUUUCACCGGUGACGAUAAUGACGGUAACCGGAGAAGAAGCCCCGGCUAACUCCGUGCCAGCAGCCGCGGUAAUACGGAGGGGGCUAGCGUUGUUCGGAAUCACUGGGCGUAAAGCGCGCGUAGGCGGGCCGUUAAGUCGGGGGUGAAAUCCCGGGGCUCAACCCCGGAACUGCCCUCGAUACUGGCGGCCUAGAGACCGGGAGAGGUGAGUGGAAUGCCGAGUGUAGAGGUGAAAUUCGUAGAUAUUCGGCGGAACACCAGUGGCGAAGGCGGCUCACUGGCCCGGUUCUGACGCUGAGGUGCGAAAGCGUGGGGAGCAAACA